UGGUGGUUAGAGCAGGUAGCCUGGUGGUUAGAGCAGGUAGCCUGGUGGUUAGAGGAGGUAGCCUGGUGGUUAGAGGAGGUAGCCUGGUGGUUAGAGCAGGUAGCCUGGUGGUUAGAGCAGGUAGUCUAGUGGUUAGAGCAGGUAGCCUGGU